rnacentral:rRNA from 1 species
UACAGAGGGUGCAAGCGUUAAUCGGAAUGACUGGGCGUAAAGGGCAUGUAGGUGGCUAAUUAAGUUAGAUGUGAAAUCCCCGGGCUUAACCUGGGAACUGCAUUUAAUACUGGUUGGCUAGAGUAUGGGAGAGGUGAGUGGAAUUCCCGGUGUAGUGGUGGAAUGCGUAGAUAUCGGGAGGAACACCAGUGGCGAAGGCGGUUGCCUGGGGCUUUGCUGACGCUGAGGCGCGAAAGCGUGGGGAGCGAUCCGG